rnacentral:sRNA from 1 species
GGUUGCUAGAGCAAUCUGACAGUGACAUCUGUCAGUCCACUUAUGCCAGGUUUGAUUCCAGGGAUUCGGCUGCUGGAAGGUGUCCCGUGAUACCCUCACUGUUCUAUAUUUGUCAUUCUGCUCUAGGCAUCUUCAGGAUGUCACUCAAGGCACGGAGGCUGCUAAGCGCACAUAGAGGAGGACCUUGCUGUCAUCCAAGCAAUACAAUGAGCUACAUGCGCCCACCAAGACCUCAGAACAAACCUUUGAGGUUCAUAUACAAAGGCUAGUUUUAGUUCAAUUUUUUAUUUGUAAAACAAAUUAAAUGCAUUUUAAAUGCGAUGAAGGUUUUAGUU